AGAGUUUGAUCAUGGCUCAGGAUGAACGCUAGCUACAGGCUUAACACAUGCAUGUCGAGGGGAAACGACAUCGAAAGCUUGCUUUUGAUGGGCGUCGACCGGCGCACGGGUGAGUAACGCGUAUCCAACCUGCCCACCACUUGGGGAUAACCUUGCGAAAGUAAGACUAAUACCCAAUGACAUCUCUAGAAGACAUCUGAAAGAGAUUAAAGAUUUAUCGGUGAUGGAUGGGGAUGCGUCUGAUUAGCUUGUUGGCGGGGUAACGGCCACCGAGGCGACGAUCAGUAGGGGUUCUGAGAGGAAGGUCCCCACAUUGGAACUGAGACACGGUCCAAACUCCUACGGGAGCA
rnacentral:rRNA from 1 species